rnacentral:misc_RNA from 1 species
GAUGAAGAACGCAGCGAAAUGCGAUAAGUAGUGUGAAUUGCAGAAUUCAGUGAAUCAUCGAAUCUUUGAACGCACAUUGCGCCCUUUGGUAUUCCUUAGGGCAUGCCUGUUCGAGCGUCAUUUAAACCUUCAAGCUAAGCUUGGUGUUGGGUGACUGUCCGCCUCACGGCGGACUCGCCUCAAAAUUAUUGGCGGCCGGUACAUUGGCUUCGAGCGCAGCAGAAACGCGAACUCGGGCCCGUCGUAUUGGCUCCCAGAAGCUAUCUUCACAAUUUUGACCUCGGAUCAGGUAGGGAUACCCGCUGAACUUAAGCAUAUCAAUAAGCGGAGGA